rnacentral:rRNA from 1 species
GAUGAACGCUGGCGGCGUGCCUAAUACAUGCCAGUCGAGCGAACAGAUAAGGAGCUUGCUCCUUUGACGUUAGCGGCGGACGGGUGAGUAACACGUGGGUAACCUACCUAUAAGACUGGAAUAACUCCGGGAAACCGGGGCUAAUGCCGGAUAACAUUUAGAACCGCAUGGUUCUAAAGUGAAAGAUGGUUUUGCUAUCACUUAUAGAUGGACCCGCGCCGUAUUAGCUAGUUGGUAAGGUAACGGCUUACCAAGGCAACGAUACGUAGCCGACCUGAGAGGGUGAUCGGCCACACUGGAACUGAGACACGGUCCAGACUCCUACGGGAGGCAGCAGUAGGGAAUCUUCCGCAAUGGGCGAAAGCCUGACGGAGCAACGCCGCGUGAGUGAUGAAGGUCUUCGGAUCGUAAAACCCUGUUAUUAGGGAAGAACAAAUGUGUAAGUAACUGUGCACGUCUUGACGGUACCUAAUCAGAAAGCCACGGCUAACUACGUG